rnacentral:rRNA from 1 species
AACGAACGCUGGCGGCAUGCCUAACACAUGCAAGUCGAACGAGACCUUCGGGUCUAGUGGCGCACGGGUGCGUAACGCGUGGGAAUCUACCCUUGGGUUCGGAAUAACAGUUAGAAAUGACUGCUAAUACCGGAUGAUGACGUAAGUCCAAGGAUUUAUCGCCCAAGGAUGAGCCUGCGUAAGAUUAGCUUGUUGGUGGGGUAAUGGCCUACCAAGGCGACGAUCUUUAGCUGGUCUGAGAGGAUGAUCAGCCACACUGGGACUGAGACACGGCCCAGACUCCUACGGGAGGCAGCAGUGGGGAAUAUUGGACAAUGGGCGAAAGCCUGAUCCAGCAAUGCCGCGUGAGUGAUGAAGGCCUUAGGGUUGUAAAGCUCCUUUACCAGGGAUGAUAAUGACAGUACCUGGAGAAUAAGCUCCGGCUAACUCCGUGCCAGCAGCCGCCGUAA